CCGUGAGUCGGGCUCGGCAGGGACGGAUUUUGGGCAUUGCUGGAAGAGCAUUGAGUCCUCUACUGUUGAUUUGAGAGGAAUUAGCCAGCAAGGCAUGAGCAUUUUAUCCAUUUGGUUUUCCUCUCAUUCAAGUCGUAGUUGACUCCACCCCUCGCUGCUUAUCAUCUCAGUCCAGCCCGAGAAGGAUCGGCCCUGUGUCACCGAACAAGAUCCAUACAAACAUUAUGAUCCAGUCCAGGAAUUUCCACUCACAAAUAAGGUACUCAGAAAGUUCCUGACACAGUAGACAUCCCAAUCGCUGGGUGUCUCGUCCAUCACCUCAUUGAUGAUGGUUCGUCAGCCA